rnacentral:rRNA from 1 species
ACCGUACUCCUACGGGAGGCAGCAGUGGGGAAUAUUGCACAAUGGGCGAAAGCCUGAUGCAGCAACGCCGCGUGAGUGAUGAAGGCCUUCGGGUUGUAAAGCUCUGUCUUUUGGGACGAUAAUGACGGUACCAAAGGAGGGAGCCACGGCUAACUACGUGCCAGCAGCCGCGGUAAUACGUAGGUGGCGAGCGUUGUCCGGAUUUACUGGGCGUAAAGGAUGCGUAGGCGGAUAUUUAAGUGAGAUGUGAAAUACCCGGGCUUAACUUGGGUGCUGCAUUUCAAACUGGAUAUCUAGAGUGCGGGAGAGGAGAAUGGAAUUCCUAGUGUAGCGGUGAAAUGCGUAGAGAUUAGGAAGAACACCAGUGGCGAAGGCGAUUCUCUGGACCGUAACUGACGCUGAGGCAUGAAAGCGUGGGUAGCAAACAGGAUUAGAUACCCUUGUAGUCCUUGAC